AGCGAACGCUGGCGGCAGGCCUAACACAUGCAAGUCGAACGGAUCCUUCGGGAUUAGUGGCGGACGGGUGAGUAACACGUGGGAACGUGCCCUUUGGUUCGGAACAACUCAGGGAAACUUGAGCUAAUACCGGAUGUGCCCUUCGGGGAAGGAUUAUCGCCAUUGGAGCGGCCCGCGUCUGAUUAGCUAGUUGGUGGGGUAAGGCCCACCAAGGCGACGAUCAGUAGCUGGUCUGAGAGGAUGAUCAGCCACAUUGGGACUGAGACACGGCCCGAAACUCCUACGGGAGGCAGCAGUGGGGAAGUCUUGCGCAAUGGGCGAAAGACCUGACGCAGCCAUGCCGCGUGAAUGAUGAAGGUCUUAGGAUUGUAAAAUUCUUUCACCGGGGGACGAUAAUGACGGUACCCGGAGAAAGAAGCCCCGGCUAACUUCGUGCCAGCAGCCGCCG
rnacentral:rRNA from 1 species